CCUACGAGCGGCAGCAGUGAGGAAUAUUGGUCAAUGGUCGGGAGACUGAACCAGCCAAGCCGCGUGAGGGAUGAAGGUACAGAGUAUCGUAAACCUCUUUUGUCAGGGAACAAAGGCGGGGACGUGUCCCCGGACGAGUGUACCUGAAGAAAAAGCAUCGGCUAACUCCGUGCCAGCAGCCGCGGUAAUACGGAGGAUGCGAGCGUUAUCCGGAUUUCUGGGGUUUAAAGGGUGCGCAGGCGGUCUGUUAAGUCAGCGGUAAAAGCCCGGGGCUCAACCCCGGCCCGCCGUUGAAACUGGAGGUCGCGAGUUGGAGAGAAGUAUGCGGAAUGCGCGGUGUAGCGGUGAAAUGCAUAGAUAUCGCGCAGAACUCCGAUUGCGAAGGCAGCAUGCCGGCUCCACACUGACGCUGAGGCACGAAAGCGUGGGUAUCGAACAGGAUUAGAUACCCCUGUAGUC
rnacentral:rRNA from 1 species